UGGUUCUGUCCAAAGUGUGUCCCCUAUCUCGGAUGUGUGGCCCCAGGAGUCCUGGCGUUAGCAUCUUACCUUAGGAGAGUGUCUGCGGCUCGGCGAGAAUGACCCAACCAGUGCUGCUGCUGAACCAGCUACGGUCUUCUCUGCUGCCAGAAUCUGGAUUCCACUAUCUCCAUCCACGACUCACCGGAAAUCUGCAUGAGGUAGACUCGAGCGGCGUUGGCUGCCCCACCGCACAAAAACACGCCAGUCAACAUGAGGCACAGCGACGCGAGGGAGGACGUCAUUGCCUCCGUGUCCGUUCCAGCCGUGUAGAUCGUGUCGAUCACUC